GAUUAUAAAAAGCUACAGAUUAAAUCAUGAAAUAACUCACUGUAGGAAAAUAUUCUGUGGAUGAAUUCAAUAACGCAAGUCAAAUGUCAGAUAAAUCUUCACCAUUGUUGUUUAUGGGUUUGUCAUGGACAAGACGUCUGUCGAUGUUGAUUACUCGCUAUCAUCCAAAGAAAAAGCCUAUGCCGAUUUUAUUCAUUUCUGACGAUAUACUCUGUGAUAAGUUGUAUGGUUUCGUGCCUCAUGCUUCCUGCACAUACUGGAUUGUAUGAUAUGUUUCCCCAUGUUCUCCAAUACCUAAUUUGUGAAUAUUUUGUUGGAUUACCUUUUUCCUUAUCUGUUUUCAUAAAUCGUCAAUAAUCUGCGAAGAUGGUAGCUGUUUAUUGGUUUCUUGAAGGCUGUUAGAAAAUGCACGGCUUGUCUAGUUGUUCCUAAAAAUGCUCCAAGUAUUUAUGUAAACAAUAAACAACAAGUAAUAUAUACAUUUAUAUGUA